GAUGAACGCUGGCGGCGUGCCUAAUACAUGCAAGUCGAGCGAACAGACGAGGAGCUUGCUCCUCUGACGUUAGCGGCGGACGGGUGAGUAACACGUGGAUAACCGACCUAUAAGACUGGGAUAACUUCGGGAAACCGGAGCUAAUACCGGAUAAUAUAUUGAACCGCAUGGUUCAAUAGUGAAAGACGGUUUUGCUGUCACUUAUAGAUGGAUCCGCGCCGCAUUAGCUAGUUGGUGAGGGAACGGCUUACCACGGCGACGAUGCGUAGCCGACCUGAGAGGGUGAUCGAGCACACUGGAACUGAGACACGGUCCAGACUCCUACGGGAGGCAGCAGUAGGGAAUCUUCCGCAAUGGGCGAAAGCCUGACGGAGCAACGCCGCGUGAGUGAUGAAGGUCUUCGGAUCGUAAAACUCUGUUAUUAGGGAAGAACAAAUGUGUAAGUAACUAUGCACGUCUUGACGGUACCUAAUCAGAAAGCCACGGCUAACUACGUG
rnacentral:rRNA from 1 species